rnacentral:tRNA from 1 species
GCCUGGGGGGGCUCAGUCGGUUGAGCCUCCGACUUCAGCUCAGGUCACGAUCUUGCGGUUCGUGGGUUCAAGCCCCGCCUCGGGCU